rnacentral:lncRNA from 1 species
UAUUUCACAUGGAGGAGUGUGCAUCUUUAUGUUGGGUGUUCUUCUGUCGUGCGACCCGGCGGCUUAUGUGCGACCUGUGGCCCACGCCUCCUAUUUGUUCAGGGCGGGCGGCGUGAACUCUGAUUCGAUCCGGGUAUUCAAUCCCGCCGCUGAGAUGCUCAGUUGACUCCUUAACCUUGAUAGGAAGAUGGCUUAUUCAAUAAUUCGUGCAUAAGGGUAAGGAACCUUGGAUGAACUAAUGCGAAUGGGGGCCCACGCCUCCUAUUCGUUCAGAGCGGGCGGCGUGAACUCUGAUUCGAUCUGGGUAUUCAAUCCCGCCGCUGGGAUGCUCAGUUGACUCCUUAACCUUGAUAGGAAGAUGGCUUAUUCACUAAUUCGUGCAUAAGGGCAAAGAACUUUGGAUGAACUAAUGCGAAUGGGUGUAAGCC